rnacentral:lncRNA from 1 species
AAGUGUAAAACAAGAUCCGUGCCGCAAAGGCAAUUUAAACCUAACAUCCCAACCUUCAUGCAGCCAUUCUACAAGGAGUUGUUGAGCACCUGCUGUCUAUCUACAGAAAUCUUGAAAUGUGGAACAGAGAUGGAAAUAUAGCAUGCAAGUCAGAAUGAAUUGCCAAACAAUGACAGAAGGCUGCUCUGAAAUGAUCAAAAUUUUCUCCUGGGACCUCACACCAAAGGAAUAUAAUAGGCAUUCAUUUCUAAGACAAUGCGGGUAAAGUGGAAUUCUAGUUUAUAUUACCUUUCUUAUUCUCUGCAUGCU